GGAGGUAGUGACAAUAAAUCACAAUGCGGGACUAUCAGUCUUGCAAUUGGAUUGAGAACAAUGUACAACUCUUAUCGAUAAGCCAUUGGAGGGCAAGUCUGGUGCCAGCAGCCGCGGUAAUUCCAGCUCCAAUAGCGUAUAUUAACGUUGUUGCAGUUAAAAAGCUCGUAGUUGAAGUGUGGGUGAUGGUGUUUGAAAGACUUCGGUUAGUCAGCUGUUCAUUACCCCCUUCCAGUAUCCAGUAGUGGGUAUUCAGUUACUUACUAUUGUGUGUUGGUCGUUUACUGUGAGAAAAUUAGAGUGUUCAAAGCAGGCGUUUGCUUGAAUAGAUUAGCAUGGAAUAAUAAUUGAAGGCUUUCGUGUUCGAUUUGAUUGGUUUGUUCAUGGAAGCAAGGUUAAAAGGAACAGUUGGGGGUAUUCAUAUUCACUAGUUAGAGGUGAAAUUCUCGGAUUUAUGGAAGAUGAACAAGUGCGAAAGCA
rnacentral:rRNA from 1 species